rnacentral:rRNA from 1 species
CCGGUUGAUCCCGCCGGACCUUACUGCUAUCGGGGUGGGACUAAGACAUGCGAGUCGAGCGUCUCUAGCUAUGUUAAGACGCGGCAUACGGCUCAGUAACACGUGGUUAACCUACCCUCAGGACAGGGAUAAACCCGGGAAACUGGGGCUAAUACCUGAUAGGUGAGGAUGCCUGGAAUGGUUUCUCACUCAAAGGGCUUUGGAAACAUGCUUCCACUGUCGCCUGGGGAUGGGGCCGCGACCGAUCAGGUUGUUGGUGAGGUAACGGCUCACCAAGCCUAUAACCGGUACGGGCCGUGAGAGCGGUAGCCCGGAGAUGGGUACUGAGACAAGGACCCAGGCCCUACGGGGCGCAGCAGUCGCGAAAACUCCGCAAUGCACGAAAGUAUGACGGGGCUACCCCGAGUGCCAUCCGCUGAGGAUGGCUUUUCUUUGGUAUAACUAGCCAGGGGAAUAAGGAGAGGGCAAGACUGGUGUCAGCCGCCGCGGUAAUACCAGCUCUCCGAGUGGUAGGGAUGAUUAUUGGGCUUAAAGCGUCCGUAGCCGGCUUAGCAAGUCUCCUGUUAAAUUCAGCGACCUAAUCGUUGAGCCGCGGGAGAUACUACUAGGCUAGGAGGCGGGAGAGGUCGACGGUACUUCUGGGGUAGGGGUGAAAUCCUAUAAUCCCGGGAGGACCACCAGUGGCGAAGGCUGUCGACUAGAACGCGCUCGACGGUGAGGGACGAAAGCUGGGGGAGCGAACCGGAUUAGAUACCCGGGUAGUCCCAGCCGUAAACGAUGCGGGCUAGGUGUUGGGGUGGCUACGUGCCACUUCAGUGCCGCAGGGAAGCCAUUAAGCCCGCCGCCUGGGGAGUACGGCCGCAAGGCUGAAACUUAAAGGAAUUGGCGGGGGAGCACCACAAGGCGUGAAGCUUGCGGUUCAAUUGGAUUCAACGCCGGGAAUCUCUA